UACAGAGGGGGCAAGCGUUGUUCGGAAUUACUGGGCGUAAAGGGCGCGUAGGCGGCCUGAUAAGUAGGGGGUGAAAUCCUGCGGCUUAACCGCAGGGCUGCCUUCUAAACUGUCGGGCUCGAGCACAGUAGAGGCAGGUGGAAUUCCCGGUGUAGCGGUGGAAUGCGUAGAGAUCGGGAAGAACAUCAGUGGCGAAGGCGGCCUGCUGGGCUGUUGCUGACGCUGAGGCGCGACAGCGUGGGGAGCGAACAGG
rnacentral:rRNA from 1 species